rnacentral:rRNA from 1 species
CCUACGGGAGGCAGCAGUGGGGAAUUUUGCACAAUGGAGGAAACUCUGAUGCAGCGACGCCGCGUGAACGAAGAAGGUUUUCGGAUCGUAAAGUUCUGUCCUGGGUGAAGAUAAUGACGGUAACUCAGGAGGAAGCCCCGGCUAACUACGUGCCAGCAGCCGCGGUAAUACGUAGGGGGCGAGCGUUGUUCGGAAUUAUUGGGCGUAAAGGGUACGUAGGCGGCUCGUUAAGUUUGGCGUUAAAUUCCGGGGCUCAACCCCGGCAAGCGUUGAAAACUGGCGAGCUUGAGUAGUAGAGGGGACAGUGGAAUUCCUAGUGUAGCGGUGAAAUGCGUAGAGAUUAGGAAGAAUACCGGUGGCGAAGGCGACUGUCUGGAUACAUACUGACGCUGAGGUACGAAAGCGUGGGGAGCAAACAGGAUUAGAUACCCUGGUAGUCC